UACGAAGGGGGCUAGCGUUGCUCGGAAUCCCUGGGCGUAAAGGGUGCGUAGGCGGGUCUUUAAGUCAGGGGGGAAAUCCUGGAGCUCAACUCCAGAACUGCCUUUGAUACUGAAGAUCUUGAGUUCGGGAAAGGUGAGUGGAACUGCGAGUGUAGAGGUGAAAUUCGUAGAUAUUCGCAAGAACACCAGUGGCGAGGCGGCUCACUGGCCCGAUACUGACGCUGAGGCACGAAAGCGUGGGGAGCAAACAGG
rnacentral:rRNA from 1 species